rnacentral:rRNA from 1 species
CCUACGGGUGGCAGCAGUGAGGAAUAUUGGUCAAUGGGCGCGAGCCUGAACCAGCCAAGUAGCGUGAAGGAUGACUGCCCUACGGGUUGUAAACUUCUUUUAUAAAGGAAUAAAGUGAGGCACGUGUGCCUUUUUGUAUGUACUUUAUGAAUAAGGAUCGGCUAACUCCGUGCCAGCAGCCGCGGUAAUACGGAGGAUCCAAGCGUUAUCCGGAUUUAUUGGGUUUAAAGGGUGCGUAGGCGGAUGGAUAAGUUAGGGGUGAAAUGUCCGAGCUUAACUCGGGAACUGCCUUUAAUACUGGUGAUCGUGAGAGUAGGAGAGGCAGGCGGAAUGGAUGGUGUAGCGGUGAAAUGCUUAGAGAUCAUACAGAACACCGAUUGCGAAGGCAGCUUAC